CCUACGGGAGGCAGCAGGGAGGAAUAUUGGUCAAUGGGCGCGAGCCUGAACCAGCCAAGUAGCGUGAAGGAUGACUGCCCUACGGGUUGUAAACUUCUGUUAUAAAGGAAUAAAGUGAGGCACGUGUGCCUUUUUGUAUGUACUUUAUGAAUAAGGAUCGGCUAACUCCGUGCCAGCAGCCGCGGUAAGACGGAGGAUCCGAGCGUUAUCCGGAUUUAGUGGGUUUAAAGGGAGCGUAGAUGGGUUGUUAAGUCAGUUGGUAAAGUUUGCGGCUCAACCGUAAAAUUGCAAUUGAUACUGGCAGUCUUGAGUACAGUUGAGGUAGGCGGACUUCGUGGUGUAGCGG
rnacentral:rRNA from 1 species